GAUGAACGCUGGCGGCGUGCUUAACACAUGCAAGUCGAACGGUGAAGGCGGAGCUUGCUCUGCUGGAUCAGUGGCGAACGGGUGAGUAACACGUGAGCAAUCUGCCCCUGACUCUGGGAUAAGCGCUGGAAACGGCGUCUAAUACUGGAUACGAGCUGCGAAGGCAUCUUCAGCAGCUGGAAAGAAUUUCGGUCAGGGAUGAGCUCGCGGCCUAUCAGCUUGUUGGUGAGGUAAUGGCUCACCAAGGCGUCGACGGGUAGCCGGCCUGAGAGGGUGACCGGCCACACUGGGACUGAGACACGGCCCAGACUCCUACGGGAGGCAGCAGUGGGGAAUAUUGCACAAUGGGCGAAAGCCUGAUGCAGCAACGCCGCGUGAGGGACGACGGCCCUCGGGUUGUAAACCUCCUUUAGCAGGGAAGAAGCGAAAGUGACGGUACCUGCAGAAAAAGCGCCGGCUAACUACGUG
rnacentral:rRNA from 1 species